UACGUAGGGAGCAAGCGUUGUCCGGAAUCAUUGGGCGUAAAGCGCGCGUAGGUGGCCACAUAAGUCCGUUGUGAAAGUCAAAGGCUCAACCUUUGAAAGCCGAUGGAUACUGUGUGGCUAGAGUACGGAAGAGGCGAGUGGAAUUCCUGGUGUAGCGGUGGAAUGCGCAGAUAUCAGGAGGAACACCAAUAGCGAAGGCAGCUCGCUGGGACGGUACUGACACUGAGGCGCGAAAGCGUGGGGAGCGAACAGG
rnacentral:rRNA from 1 species